GAUGAAGAACGUAGCGAAAUGCGAUAAGUAGUGUGAAUUGCAGAAUUCAGUGAAUCAUCGAAUCUUUGAACACACAUUGCGCCCCUUGGUAUUCCAUGGGGCAUGCCUGUUCGAGCGUCAUUUGAACCCUCAAGCUCUGCUUGGUGUUGGGUGUUUGUCCCGCCAUUGCGCGUGGACUCGCCUUAAAGCAAUUGGCAGCCAUGUAAUCCGGCUUUGAGCGCAGCACAUUGCGUACUCUCUACUGGGACAUGGGCAUCCAGAAGCCUUAUUUUUUUUUACUCUUGACCUCGGAUCAGGUAGGGAUACCCGCUGAACUUAAGCAUAUCAAUAAGCGGAGGA
rnacentral:misc_RNA from 1 species